UGAACGCUGGCGGCGUGCCUAAUACAUGCAAGUCGAGCGAACAGACGAGGAGCUUGCUCCUCUGACGUUAGCGGCGGACGGGUGAGUAACACGUGGAUAACCUACCUAUAAGACUGGGAUAACUUCGGGAAACCGGAGCUAAUACCGGAUAAUAUAUUGAACCGCAUGGUUCCAUAGUGAAAGACGGUUUUGCUGUCACUUAUAGAUGGAUCCGCGCCGCAUUAGCUAGUUGGUAAGGUAACGGCUUACCAAGGCAACGAUGCGUAGCCGACCUGAGAGGGUGAUCGGCCACACUGGAACUGAGACACGGUCCAGACUCCUACGGGAGGCAGCAGUAGGGAAUCUUCCGCAAUGGGCGAAAGCCUGACGGAGCAACGCCGCGUGAGUGAUGAAGGUCUUCGGAUCGUAAAACUCUGUUAUUAGGGAAGAACAAAUGUGUAAGUAACUAUGCACGUCUUGACGGUACCUAAUCAGAAAGCCACAGCUAACUACGUG
rnacentral:rRNA from 1 species